CUCCCAAACCCCCACGAUGAAAUGGCUUAUAUAGACAGACCAACAAGCCAACUCUUCACUUCACUGAGCAAGUGUGUCUUGCAGUUGUCUUUGGAGAGAUAUAACAGAGAACAUGGCACGCAAACUCUUUCUAAUCCUCGCGCUCUUUCUCCUGGUGGGGAGUCUGACUGCGCAGUUGUCAGAUGAAGAUGGCAUCAUCCUGUCUGAACUGUACAACAAGGCAUCGAGGCAGCUCCACUCUUUCAGAGAGAGAAUCUGAAUGCCACGAAGCUCUCCUGUUUGUAAACAAAUAAAGAUGUUCUGCAGCAUUUACCUCUCUGUGCUCAUGGUUUAGAAAGUUUGCGAAUCCGUCAGACAUUUAUGGAAAUCUACAUGAAUUUUACCUAAAAUGUGACGAUCUAUGUCAUAAAAAAGAGAAGCUGAAGAAACAUUAAUCACCAAAGUAUCCAACAUUUAAUGGCUCCUUAAAAUAUUGUAAUCCCCUCCUUUAAAAGCUACAGUUUGCAACAAGUUGCCACUUUUUAGGCAUGUUUUUAUAGGCAACUAGUACUGGCAUCAUUUUCAAAUGACUUUUGAUGGUAUAUGGUCAUGUGAAAGACAGAUAAACACUAGGUAUGGGGCACCAAGUGUAACAGACCUUGUUUACAGAACCCAUUCUGUGCUGCAAUAGGCAUUCAUUACAUACGAAGCCAUAUAAUACCAUAAUGCAUUUUCUCCACAAAAAACAAACCUGUUA
ensembl:lncRNA